CCUGCUCAAUGAAUCUCAAUAGCCGCUAUUUGUGCUAAGGUAGCAUAAUAGUUUGCUCCUUAAUUAGGAGAUUGAAUGAAUGGACUAACAUUUAACUUUCUAUCUUUCACCAAAACAACUAAAUUAAUCUAGUGAUCAAAAAUUCACUAUUGUAAAGAAAGACGAUAAGACCCUAAUGAACUUUUCUUAAAGAUUAACUGGGGUAGUACAUAAAUAACCUUUAUAGCCGGAUAAAAAAAUAAGCUUAAUAGAAAACACAGUUACCAUAGGGAUAACAGCGUAAUUUUAAUUUUAAGCCCUUAUAAAAAUUAAAAUAUACGACCUCGAUGUUGAAUUAGUUAAAUUUUUAUAAGUAUAAAUAUAAAUAAUUAGUCUGUUCGACUUUUAAACAACUACAU
rnacentral:rRNA from 1 species